rnacentral:rRNA from 1 species
GAUGAACGCUGGCGGCGUGCCUAAUACAUGCAAGUCGAGCGAACAGACGAUGAGCUUGCUCCUCUGACGUUAGCGGCGGGCGUGAGUAACACGUGGAUAACCUACCUAUAAGACUGGGAUAACUUCGGGAAACCGGAGCUAAUACCGGAUAAUAUAUUCAACUGCAUGGUUCGAUAGUGAAAGUCGGGUUUGCUGUCACUUAUAGAUGGAUCCGCGCCGCAUUAGCUAGUUGGGAAGGUUACGGGGUACUAAGCCAAUGAGGGGUAGCCGACCUGGUGGGGUGGUAGGCCGCCUGGGAACUGAGACACGGUCCAGAGUACUACGGGAGGCAGCAGUAGGGAAUCUGCCGCAAUGGGCGAAAGCCUGACGGAGCAACGCCGAGUGAGAGAUGAAGGUCUUCGGAUCGUAAAACUCUGUUAUUGGGGAAGAACAAAUGUGUAAGUAACCAUGCCCGUCUUGACGGUACCUAAUAAGAAAGCCACGGCUAACUACGUG